GCUGAAGAAGUGUCAUGAGCAGGACCUGAGAUAAACUUGGUGUAACUUUGUACUUCAUGAGGAGGAAUUGUUUAAACAUAUGGGGGCGAUCUCUAAAAACGGACACUUAAUUUUUCACAUUUGUCUGACGUCUCCAUACGUUUUUAACCAGGAAGUGUACUAGCAUUAGCACACACCCUGUAGUACAAUGUCAACAGCACCAGAAGCACCAACGGGAGGAGUAGAUGCCCCCGUGUCGAAACCCAGGCAGAGUUUUAAGAACUGCUGGAGCUGUCGGCUCAUCUCCGGCGGGGGUUUGAUCCUGUCUGGAGCCUAUGUGUUCAGUGCAGCCCGGAAAGUGAUGCGACAAGGUGGACCUACCUCUAUGGGGACAGUUGCACAGAUUACAUUUGCUGCUAGUUUGGCUGCAUGGGGAAUUGUUGUCAUCGCUGACCCGGUAGGAAAAGCGCAGAGGAAGACGUGAAGGCUGUUAAGAAACUCAUGACAGCAUGAAUAGACGUUUAAAAUGGCUCAAACAUGGACUGCAAGGUGCUGUGAAGAUAUUCAUGGACACGAAGCCAAAUAAGCUGCUCUUGAGUCUGUAGAAAAGUUAUGUUGUUUUUACACUAUAUUUGGAUUAACACAGGCAUCAGAUCAGAUUUUUGUUGGCAUUGUUUGGAUGGACCAAGCAUCCUACAAUAUUGGAAGCUAUUGAUUGGUUGAAUCUUAAAUGAAAGAGAUCAUAUGUCAUUAAAAAGGUAAUUUAAUAUAUGUCAGCCUUGAAAGGUUAUGCAUAAAAACACCUCACAUUUCUCAAUGUCCUACAUUUGAAUGCAGAAACCAUUUCAUUCAUACCUAUAAGCAAAAACGUGCUAAAGGUAUCAUUAUCUGAGUGAGUAUUUGACAAUAGUAAAAUUAUUUAAAAAAACUCUUUGAGUCAUUUAGUUGAGUUAAUUUUGAGCUUUCAAAAUAAAGCUAUUUAAAAAAUAACUACAACAUUAAAUAAAAGGGGACUGUUGUGUAAGUUAAGACAUUUGCCCCCCAAAGCUGUCCUGACUUAUCAGAGAAUGAAGCAGCUGUGUAGUGCCUCAUAACCUCCACAUAAGCUUUAAAAAUAUAAAGAUUUUAUUGUUUUUUCAUCUCAGUGUGGUGUUAAAUAAACAGCAUGGUAUGAGCCCCUGACCUAUUAAAAUAUUUAACUCAUUUCUCA